GAUGAACGCUAGCGGCAGGCCUAAUACAUGCAAGACUAGGGGGCAGCAAUGUCACCGUCGCACGGGUGCGUAACGCGUAUGCAACCUACCUAUCACAGGGGGAUAGCCUUUGGAAACAGGGAUUAAUACCGCAUAAAGCAGGGGCUCCGCAUGGAGAUAUUGCUAAAGAUUUAUCGGUGAUAGAUGGGCAUGCGUCUGAUUAGUUAGAUGGUGGGGUAACGGCCUACCAUGACGAUGAUCAGUAGGGGGCGUCAGAGCGUGGUACCACACACGGGCUCUGCGAUACGGGCCAGACUCAUGCUGGAGGCGGGAGUCGGGAAUAUUGGGCAUGGGUGCGAAGUGUGAACCAGCCAUGCCGCGUGCAGGAAGUACGUCCUCUGGUUUGUAAACUGCUUUUCUGGGGGAAGAAGAGACACCUUGCGAGGUGUUGUGACGGUACCCUAAGAAUAAGCCAAGGGUAACUACGUGCCAGCCGCCGCAGGAUGAC
rnacentral:rRNA from 1 species